rnacentral:pre_miRNA from 1 species
AAAAAAAACAAACCCUGGUUUCCGUGUCUAAUGUUUGACCGUCCGUCUUAUUUAAAAAAAUUAUAAAAAAAUUAAAAAGAUAAGUCACGCAUAAAGUAUUCAUCAUGUUUUAUCAUCUAACAACAAUGAAAAUACUAAUUAUAAAAAAAUUUCAUAUAAGAUGAACAGUCAAACGUUGGCACGCAAACCCACGGUUUGCUUUUUU